rnacentral:lncRNA from 1 species
UGACCUCCUAGACUCAAGCAAUUCUCCUGCCUCAGCCUCCCAAGGAGCUGGGACUGCAGGUAUGUGCAACCCUGCUCAGCUAAUUUUUUAUUUCUUUUGUUUUUUAGAGACAGGGUCUCUCUCUGUCACCCAGGCUGGAGUGCUACGGUACAAUUGGUAAGUUUCCUCUUCUUCCCCUUCCAUGUCUCUUGACAUAGAUUCAGGGCAGCCAAACCCAGAACUGCUUAAGUGGCAGGGACAGGAAACAUUUCAAGAGAAAUUCUCUCUUUCCAAUCAAUGGAAUAGGAACAGGCAUCCCUGCAUGGCAGAGCAAGUGAGGGAAACCUGGCUUUAUUCCAUCCUGACCUGUCCCGAUGCCAUAAAAGAGUAAGACUUAGGGGUCUUUGGUGGGAGAUGAGUGUAUUUUGCAUGUGGGAAGGGUGUGAGUUAUUUGCCAGAGGACAGGCUGGUGGACUAACGUGAUCCAAAGAUGGUGUGAGAGUUGCAGUGAGCCAAGAUCGCGCCACUGCACUCCAGCCUGGGUGACAGAGCGUGACUCCAUCUCAAAAUACAUAAACAAAAUAAAAUAAAAAUAAAGUUUAUAGCAUCAGUUUCACCCUUUUAUUUCAAUUUUCUGUUCCUUUUACUACUUUUUAAAUCUUUCUACUCCCUUUCCCCUCAAGCUUAUACCAUGGCACUCUCACACAAGUAUGAGCUGUGCUGACAAACUGCUUCAAUUCUUUUCGGGAAGCAGCAAUGGUUAAAUCCUUACUUUUGCUGCAGAGCUUACUGUCAGUUCUC